GUUCAGUCCUACUCGCUACUUCGUCGAAGAGGUCAUCGGCUUUGAUGAGACCGAUCUCUACCGCUCAUGGGUUCGGGCUUCAUCCACCAGGAGUCCUCAGGAGAGGAACACCAGGUUGGAGAACAUGUGCUGGCGGAUUUGGAACCUCGCUCGCCAGAAGAAGCAGUUGGAGAGUGAGGCGGCGUAGAGAGUGAACAAGCGCCGCCUCGAGCGCGAGCGAGGGCGGAGGGAAGCCACCGCGGAUAUGUCGGAGGACUUGUCGGAAGGAGAGAAGGGAGAUCCGGUCAGUGACG
rnacentral:sRNA from 1 species